rnacentral:rRNA from 1 species
CAGCAGCCGCGGUAAUACGUAGGGUGCAAGCGUUAAUCGGAAUUACUGGGCGUAAAGCGUGCGCAGGCGGUUUUGUAAGUUUGUCGUGAAAGCCCCGGGCUCAACCUGGGAAUUGCGAUGAAGACUGCAAGGCUUGAAUCUGGCAGAGGGGGGUAGAAUUCCACGUGUAGCAGUGAAAUGCGUAGAGAUGUGGAGGAACACCGAUGGCGAAGGCAGCCCCCUGGGUCAAGAUUGACGCUCAUGCACGAAAGCGUGGGGAGCAAACAGGAUUAGAUACCCUGGUAGUCCACGCCCUAAACGAUGUCUACUAGUUGUCGGGUUUUAAUUAACUUGGUAACGCAGCUAACGCGUGAAGUAGACCGCCUGGGGAGUACGGUCGCAAGAUUAAAACUCAAAGGAAUUGACGGGGACCCGCACAAGCGGUGGAUGAUGUGGAUUAAUUCGAUGCAACGCGAAAAACCUUACCUACCCUUGACAUGGACGGAAGCCACGAGAGAUCGAGGUGUGCUCGAAAGAGAACCGUCACACAGGUGCUGCAUGGCUGUCGUCAGACUCGUGUCGUGAGAUGUUGGGUUAAGUCCCGCAACGAGCGCAACCCUUGUCAUUAGUUGCUACGAAAGAGCACUCUAAUGAGACUGCCGGUGACAAACCGGAGGAAGGUGGGGAUGACGUCAAGUCCUCAUGGCCCUUAUGGGUAGGGCUUCACACGUCAUACAAUGGUACAUACAGAGGGCCGCCAACCCGCGAGGGGGAGCUAAUCCCAGAAAGUGUAUCGUAGUCCGGAUUGUAGUCUGCAACUCGACUACAUGAAGUUGGAAUCGCUAGUAAUCGCGGAUCAGCAUGUCGCG